CCCGUCCUGAAUGUCCCGUCCUUCUGCUGCCCGCGGUGUUCCCGGCCUGCCUUUUCCUCCUGUUUGUACCCAGUGGUUGACUGGGGUGUAACGGGAUGUUUAAUGGUUGAACUGCUGGCGCCUGUGUUUUGUCCUCCUUCGAUCAGGCAAAACGGGAAUAAACAUUGGAUUGUGGUUUUGGCCUCGGACAAACAUUCAGAGAAUGGCUCAGGGGUGACCUUACUGCUCUCUGCAGCUUCCUGAAAGGUUGUAGGCAGGGGGGGCUCGGUCUCUUUUACCAGGCAGCAAGCAACAGGAUGAGAGAACAGAGCCUCAAACUGUGACGGGGGAGGUUUAGGUUGCACAUUAGGAGGAAUUUCUUCACAGAAAGGGCGAUUAGGCGUUGCAACAAGCUGUCCAGGGGGGUGGUGGAGUCACUGUCCCUGCAGGUGUUUAAGGAAAGACUGGAUGUGGCACUUAGUGCCAUGGUCUAGUUGACAGAGUGGUGUUUGGUCAUAGGUUGGACUCGAUGAUCAGAGGUCUUUUCCAGCACAGUGAGAUUCUCAUGUGUGUAAUUCAAAUAAUGCUGGAACUGGAGCAAAUGUCAGGCAGGAUGUGGUACUAGCUCUGGUUAGAUUACUGCCCUCUACAUUUGGGUUCGCUGUAGUCAGUGGUUGUCUUCCUGUUCCUUAUUCUUCAUUUCCUCAAUGCUGAGACACACUAUCAGCAUUUGUAAAUUGUGACCCAUCGAUAACGGAAGCUGCAUUAAGGAGAACAAGAUUCCUUGUGUUUACUCUUUUGACAAGGAUUUGAAAAUGCAGCAGAUUAUAUACUUGUACCAAUGUCUCCAGUGGGACAGGUGUGCCAGGACAGAUAGAAAAAUAUGAGGCAAAUAUAUACUGAACCGCGAAGUCAUCAAGAGGUGGAAAAGAACACAAGUCCACCAACUUAUAUAGCAAGGCAUCCUAUUCCAGGGACCAUAUUUUUUCCCUAGUCUGAGAGAAAUUCAGUUCCUAGAGAUCAGGCAUAAUAAUCCCUGAUUUGCAGCAUCAGAAGGGCAUAAGGAACAAAUGCUUCUCAAUGAAUAGAGAGGGAUGAGGAGGUAAAUGCAUCCACAUACUUAGCAUUAGAUACCCAAAUGCCCAGGCUAGGAGCUUGCACUCCUUCUGUAGUUAACUGA